rnacentral:lncRNA from 1 species
CUCAAACUUCCUAGUGCUGCUUCUUUUUGCUCUAUUUGCCAUUCCUCAGGGUCUUGCCAAUUAUGAGAAGCCUCCGGUUUACCAACCACCGGUGUAUAAGCCACCAGUUGAGAAACCCCCGGUCUACAAACCCCCUGUAGAAAAGCCACCAGUAUAUAAGCCACCAGUAGAGAAGCCUCCAGUUUACAAACCACCGGUGUACAAGCCACCUGUGUACAAACCCCCAGUAGUGAAACCCCCAGUCUACAAACCUCCUGUUUACAAGCCACCGGUGUACAAGCCACCAGUUUACAAACCACCAGUAGAGAAGCCCCCAGUUUACAAGCCACCUGUAUACAAACCCCCAGUAGUGAAACCCCCAGUCUACAAACCUCCUGUUUACAAGCCACCAGUUGAGAAGCCUCCAGUUUACAAGCCACCAGUAGUGAAGCCACCUGUUUACAAGCCCCCAGUCUACAAGCCACCAGUAGUGAAGCCACCUGUAUACAAGCCUCCAGUCUACAAGCCACCCGUUUACAAGCCUCCAGUUGAGAAGCCUCCGGUCUACAAGCCACCUGUUUACAAGCCCCCAGUUGAGAAACCUCCAGUCUACAAGCCACCGGUUUACAAGCCUCCAGUCGAGAAGCCACCAGUUUACGGACCUCCUCACCACCCAUAGGACUCUCGGAUGCUUUUAAGUAAAUAAGUUAAAUAAGAGAUAUAUAAUGUUUCCAAAGCAAGGAUUAUAUAUUCUUGGAAU